GAUGAACGCUGGCGGCGUGCUUAACACAUGCAAGUCGAACGGAAAGGCCACAGCUUGCUGUGGUACUCGAGUGGCGAACGGGUGAGUAACACGUGGGCGAUCUGCCCUGUACUUCGGGAUAAGCUUGGGAAACUGGGUCUAAUACCGGAUAGGAAUCACAUGUGGGUGUGUGGUUGGAAAGCUUUUGCGGUAUGGGAUGAGCUCGCGGCCUAUCAGCUUGUUGGUGGGGUAAUGGCCUACCAAGGCGUCGACGGGUAGCCGGCCUGAGAGGGUGUACGGCCACAUUGGGACUGAGAUACGGCCCAGACUCCUACGGGAGGCAGCAGUGGGGAAUAUUGCACAAUGGGCGCAAGCCUGAUGCAGCGACGCCGCGUGGGGGAUGACGGCCUUCGGGUUGUAAACUCCUUUCGUCAGGGACGAAGCGAAAGUGACGGUACCUGGAUAAGAAGCACCGGCUAACUACGUG
rnacentral:rRNA from 1 species